rnacentral:rRNA from 1 species
UACGUAGGGGGCAAGCGUUGUCCGGAUUUAUUGGGCGUAAAGAGCUCGUAGGCGGCUUGGCAAGUCGGGUGUGAAAACUUCAGGCUCAACCUGGAGCGGCCACUCGAUACUGCUAUGGCUUGAGUCCGGUAGGGGACCACGGAAUUCCUGGUGUAGCGGUGAAAUGCGCAGAUAUCUGGAGGAACACCGGUGGCGAAGGCGGCAUCCUGGACCGGCAUUGACGCUGAGGAGCGAAAGCCAGGGGAGCAAACGGG